UAGCUUGCUCCUUCUUCCCUCUGGUCUCUCAGCAUUUUCCUCUAUAUCUGACUCUGGGCUUUUAUUGUUUAGACCAAUUAAGAGCUCCAUUUACAUUUUUGUGUUAUACAUUUCUUCUCUUAAUUCACCAUGAGACUAAAGACAGUUGUUGUUCCAAUGCAUUCCUAGUCCAUGCUAGCCUGAGAGUAGGAAGGUUAAUCCAGUCUGAACUGGCUUUGGGUGUUGUGUCAAAACUGCCGUCACGUGAAAUAUGAACGAGAAUCUCCUAUUUACCCUCUUAUCCCUUGUGUAUAAGUGGGUGUACAUAUGGUUAGAAACAAAUGCAUUGUGGGAGGCGAGUCUGUGUCAGUCAAAACCACCCAAAUUAUACCUCUUGUAACCAAACUCUUCCUGUCCCAGAACCCUAUAAAACAAAGGCCUAAACUGUAGUCGAUGGGGACCGUGAAUGUCUUCACUUUCUGACUUACUGCUGUCUGGAAAGUGAUCUGACCUUCCUUUUCUCUUCCUUCCUUCCUUCUUCCUUUCCUCUCUCCAUCUCUCUUCCUCCCUUCUUUUUUCUGCUUUACUGUUUCCUCAGUACUUGUGUGAAUCAGUGAAUUUUUAUUUCAGGUUUUGCAUAAGAGGUCAAGAACCUGAAAACACCACCCUCUGGCCGGGUACCUGAACCUGCCAACACCCAGGCCUCUGCGGUUGUUGCAGAGGUGGACAUGACCAUGACAUGGGUGUGACUCUCAGCCUUGUGACCGACACAGGGAUGUCAGCCCUGGGCGUCCUCAGGCAUGGCGAGUUGGCAGGUGUAAUUCAAGACUGUGUGUCAUGUUCAGCAGAGGCCAGGAGAUGCCUGGUGGGGGCUAAGCAGCUUUCUUUUGUACUGUAAGCCUUCUUAGAAUCAUUAAAAUGCUAAUGUAAAUGAGACUUUCUAGGAGAGAUAAGUGGUGGGCACUUUCCAAACUUGUUUUAUUCAUUUCACAUGUAAUUAUUAUGUUCAUAUAUAUGCAAAACACUGUCUGAUGUGUUCUGGAAGUGCAUAAUAAGGAAUACAAGGUCUGCUCUUCUGCAAGUUCCUGUCUACUGAGCAGGGAGGGAGGAGGAGAAAGGAAGAACACGGGUGAGGGAGAGCCCGUCUGCAGAGAAUGAAACUCUGGAGCGGGAUAGGUGGCUCCUUCAGCUGAGACAUCAAGGCAAGGCCCCAAGGAGAUGAGCUGAGCUCCCAGAGCAAUAUCAAGCCACAACCAAGACAGGAGCCUUCCAGGCAGUGGGGGACCCCCUGUGUCCAGGAUGCAGUCUUCUAACAGAGAGUAUAAACACCAGGAGAACGGGAUAGACGCAUGGCAUGGAAUGGCCAGAGUCCUGAGGGCUCAGCCCUUCCAGAUCAGAGACCACCCACACAGCAGCUGUGCUGGGUUAUAGAAUGUAAUGGGAGAGGUGGUAGCCAGGUGGCUACUGCAGAGGUGCAGGUGGGAUCCAGGUGGCUACUGCAGAAAUACAGGUGGUAGCCAGGUGGCUAUUGCAGAGGUGCAGGUGGUAGCCAGGUGGCUAAUACAGACGUGCAGGUGGGGGGUAACAGGAGCUCAGAAGUAAAGGAGACAAGAAAUGAAUGCAUGCUGGGUACAUUCCAUUGCUUCUAUUUCUGUGUGUGUGUGUACGUGUGCGUGCCUGCAGGUAUGUGGUUCUCAUGAGCCAUUACCCAUGGUGGGACAGGCUUUUCAUGGGUAGAGCUGCCCUUCAGCCACCCACGGUCCUGUGACCCUUCAUCCAUUGCCCUCGUCAGGGUCUCUGCUGCUGUGAUAAAACACAAAAGCAACUCCAGGGAAACGGUUUGCCUCCGUUCGCAAUUGCAAUGCAUCAUGAAGGGAAGUCAGGACAGGAACUCAAAGCAGGAACACAGAGGCAGGAACUCAAGCAGAGGACAUGAAUAAAUGCAACGGCCUGCUCCCCAUGGCUUCCUCAGUCUGCUUUCUUACACCAUCAGGACCAUCUACCUGUCCAGGGGCAGCACUGGGUCCUCCUUCAUCAGUCAUUCACCAAGAAAAAUAUUAAUGAGACUUUCUUUAUCCGGUUAAGAUUCCCUCUUCCUGGCGGUGUGAAGGCUUGGGUCAAGUUGGCAAAACCAACAAGCGCCAUCUGCACUCCUGAACUAACCACCAUCAACUCACUGGCUCACCAGGAAGUCAUACAGCAUUGGGUCACAUGUCUUCCUGGACCCUGGAUGGCAUCCAGCAUGCAGGCUGUGUGUGGCACACUCUCCUUGGCAGCCUAAGGUCACCCCCCAGCCCCGCCAACACAACACUCAGCCCAGCUUAGACUUCACUGCCUAUUUUGCAAGUCAGCAACUUCUUCCAAAAAAAAGAAAAGUCAUGCCAAGCCCUUGGCUCUCCUUCCAAAGAUGGCCUUUUAUUCUUGGGCCUUGGCUUCUUAUACCCCUACCAGCCUAGUUGCCCUUAGAUGUCCCCAAACAGAUUUGGCUUCACGAAAUUUUCCUGAGUCUUCUAGACAAAUGACAUUUUCAAUAGGAAAGUUUCCAUUGACAAGUCAUGCUGUACCAAAGGACGUUUUCUCCGUCAAGCCUAUCUAUUCUAACCAGAAGCAGAAAGAGGACCCUUUACAGAAAGAGCCUACCAGAUGGGCCAAGACUUCUCAAGGGCAUGAGACAGACACUGGGACCUUGGGCACCAUCCUUUGAAGAAGUGAGAGAGAAGUUAGGAGGGAGGUGUGGAACACGAUAGGUUGGGAUGUUACGGUUUCACACUAAGGUACAGGGCGAGUGGAUAUGUGGACCCAGAGUUUGGCUGAAGGAGAGAAGGCUCUAAGCAGGCAACCGGAUGUGGCCACCCUGUCUCUCUUGGAGGGUCUCGUCUGUGCACCUGAUUGUGGAGUUGUAGUGUCAGCCACAACAGAGACCAGGAAGAACUUGUCCCCAAGCAGGAGCAACACCCAACUCUUAGCGCACUCGAGAGGAACUGCUCCAUCUAAAGGCACCACCCAUUUGGAGCCAUUUGAUGCUCUUCUCUGGGACUCCCUGCUGUUACCCCUUCAACACCCUGCCUGAGCCCUGGAUGGAGGAGACUCACUCAGGAUUCCAGUGAGACAGGCGACAGCGUGGAUGGAUGUAGACAUCGUUCAAGCAGGAGAUGGUGCCGAGAAAGUCAGCCGCUGCAGAAAGUUCAGAUGUGGCCGGAUCCCAGGCUCAGCCUUGCCCUUGGCGAUGGAGACCAUGGGAGCCUUUAACAAGAGCAGGCCUGGAGGUAGUAGGGAGGGUGGUGCCUGCACUUUGGAGGGUCGGUCUCCUUCCCUGGGACCUGGUUCCUUUAACUUCUGUCAUUGAGCUCGCCAGUGCUAGAGGCACCCAUGGGGACCCUGGAGCAUGCCUCUACACUUUAGCUCACCGCAGCCUCCUCCCUUUGAGGGUAAAGCGCCUGUCAUCGAGCUCCUCCUGUCAUGCUACAGCCCUUCUGGUGAAGGGAGCUGUCACUGCAAUGGGAUGGCGUGACGUCGUGGGACUAUCUAUCCAGGUGAUGUUCUCUCUGUUGGAGUGGCACUUGGAAACUGCACUGAAGGUCCCUCCUAGGCACAGCAUGAUGGGGGUGAUAUAAAGCCCAGGUGUCACCAAGUCCCCGCCCACAAGUCUUUAGGUGUCACCAAGUCCCCGCCCACAAGUCUUUAGGUGUCACCGAGUCUCCGCCCAGGGUCUUUAGGUGUCACCGAGUCCCCGCCCACGGUCUUCCUCUAAAUUAUCCAGAGCCGCUCUGCCCCUGGCCCAUUCCCCACAGUGCCCAGAGCUCCAAGCGUUUCCCUUUUUCCUAAUGCACAGGAGGCUUAUAAAAGGCAGCCGGUUGUCUCUGCAAGCAAGAGUACCACAGCUAUUGCCUCGUAACCAAAAUGCUUCCGAGAGAGACUCCUUAUGACCCCCGCAACCCCAAUCAACUAACAAAGCUCAGGCAACAAAUUAAACUUAAAAGUUUCUGGAAUCUUAUCAGAUUCACAAGGCCCCUUGCUAGGGUUAACAGCUGCUGGAGGGUUGAGACUCUGACUGCCUAGCUGUCUGUAAGUCAUGCAGGGAGCUUCAGGGUUGCAGCAUGCAUGAUCUGUCACUCACGCUGAGAUGAUGCCGCUGGCUUCGAGUCACUCUUGUGCUUGCGAGCAACCCCUCACUUGAACUCCGGUUAGUAACCCCUGAAGUUUCACCGGCUCACCAAGCUGGACUUCAGAAUGAAUGUGUCCUUGUUCUGUUAUUGAAGCCCUACCCGGGUUCAAUAGUUUGUUUUUCAACAGCCCAGAAAAGGUCAUGCAGGAGUUGUGUGGUUACUCCAAGGUCUACUCUUGAGGCCGCACAGCAGACUGCAUUCGGGAGACCCUGAUCUGGGGAGACAAAAGGGCCAGGGACCUGAGGCCUGAGAUCUGAGGAAAUAGUGGUGUGUCCCAAAUGUCCAGGCCUUUGUGAAUCGGGAAGACCCAAUGCUUCCUGGGUCAAGUUCAAAGACCAUCUGCUGUUUCCGAGCAGCCUGUGGGGCCUACCUCCUCAUGGAGGGUCGUUUCCUUACACCGUCUAUCCGCUUGGGUGUUCCUGUUGUUUCUGAGGCAUCAUUUUCCUCCGCAGCCCUGCCUGUCCUGGAACUUAGACGCAUCCUCCUGCCUCUGCCUCCUCAGUGCUGAGAUCACUGCUGUGAGAAACUCUGUCUAUUUAAAUGCUGACGUCACGAAACACACUUGCAGAGACACUCCGAAGGAUGUUAGCACACCCAGCACCACGGCCGUGGAAGUCACACGCGCUGGCGCUGUUGACACAACACUGCCUUGGAGGUCCCAGCCGAAAGCACCUUGGUGUGGCACUGCAGCUGCUCUGACUCCAGGCUCUGCUCUGGUGGACUGUGGUGGUGACUCAGAAGCUGAGGGAGAACCCCUCACUUCUGUCUGCCUUCUUCCCUCCUCUCUCUCUCUCUCUCUCUCUCUCUCUCUGUCUCUGUCUCUCUCUCUC